rfam:Punica granatum cultivar Dabenzi scaffold7, whole genome shotgun sequence.
CCGACCUUAGCUCAGUUGGUAGAGCGGAGGACUGUAGUGUGUUCACAGCUAUCCUUAGGUCGCUGGUUCGAAUCCGGCAGGUCGGA